GUGUCAGCCGCCGCGGUAAUACGGAGGUGGCAAGCGUUGUUCGGAAUUACUGGGCGUAAAGGGCGCGUAGGCGGCCUGACAAGUCAGAUGUGAAAGCCCCGGGCUUAACUCGGGAAUUGCAUCUGAAACUGUUUGGCUUGAGUUCUGGAGGGGAUGGUGGAAUUCCCAGUGUAGCGGUGAAAUGCGUAGAUAUUGGGAGGAACACCUGCGGCGAAGGCGGCCAUCUGGACAGUAACUGACGCUGAGGCGCGAAAGCUAGGGGAGCGAACGGGAUUAGAAACCCCCGUAGUCC
rnacentral:rRNA from 1 species